GCAUUUUGGAGGAGGGGUAGUUCUGAGUGACACAGGCUGCAGGGGUUCUUCCCUGCUUUCUCUCCUGAGAACUAAAGUGGGAAUGCCUGACCUAUGGAAAAUGUAAACCACUCAGCUCAAAUGAUCAUACACCCCUGUGCUGAGGGACUUGAAUGAAUGGGAAGAAAAAAGCUCUUCAUGAAGCUUUGAAAUGGCAAGAGGGAUCAAAUGAAUGUUUUCAUUGGCAUCAGCUAGUCCCCCUUUGUUCAGAGCAGGAGCUUUGAGUCCAGUGCCUGGAGCAUCACAAAGUCAUAGACCAGCACUUGGAGAUCACCAAGGUGAGGGAGAAUAGUGGAGAAUAUUGCCUCUUUGCAUUCCCAGACACUCUUUAAAAGAAAUAACGAACAUAAACCAUAUUUUUUUAACACAAAAAGCUGCCACCAGCUUUUUGUACUCAAAAUUCGCCCCAUUCAAAGGCUUAAGGCAGAUAAAGCCCCUCACCUGAUGGGAGUAGUUUGCACAAAUCCAAUCUUUGAAGCUAAGAAUCAUUUUGAACAAAAUUCUUGUUAGGAAAUGCAUAACAACACCACAGCUGAGUCCCUUGCAGAGUGAGAGCUGAAGUCUUUGGAUCUUUUCCUCUGCCCACCAAACCCCAUGUGAAAAGUGAGAUGAGGUUCCCACAAGCAACUCCAAUUUCAAUCCUUUUCAGACUUUAUUUCUUCUAUUCUGUGGCCUCCUGUGGUAGCAAACUAUGCAGGCUGGCUACCAGCUGUGUGAAGGCCUGAUUAUUGUACAUUUUAAAUUUACCUGCUGGCAGCUACAUUUACACUCAAGUGCCAGAAGAAUGGAAAAAAUAAUGUAAUGCAUCUCAGUUGUUACACAGAGCUGCUAUGGAGACAGGAUGAGCCUGGAAAAGAGUAUCAGAGAAGGAUCCUGCUAAAAACCAGUAUCAUGUCUCUUGGGAAGGCUCCCAGGGGAGUGUUUAAAUCUCAGUCUGGGAAUCUCUCAGUGUGGAAGUGGAGCAGGAAAGAAGCAGAUCAAUCUGCAAGGAUCAGAAAGGAAUGGUCUGACUCUCACCUGCCCCUGCCAUGCAGGAUGCAGAGGAAGAGCAGAAGGAUUGAAGGAGCAAAGAAACAGUUGGAUGUGGGUAGCUGUGGAAAAAGGAGCCUGAGAACUUUUCACCAGUUUCACUAGCUCAUGCUUCUGAGGAGUUUAGUGCUAAGCACUUUGGGUUUCACUCAAAGCCUGCUAAGUCAAUGGGAAUCACUCAGGUUUUCUCUGUGUUUUGGACUGAGUCCUUUCAAAACAAGCAGUGAAUAGAAACAUAGGCUUUCUUCUUCCCUGUGGCCAGGAUUUUCAGCAUACCUCAACUUUUAGGAUCAUGAGUGAGUUUUCCAAAACAAUUUCCCUGGGAAUGAAGAAAUGAUCACAAAUGACUGAAAUACCCAGGCUGUCCUCAGGUGGUUCCCUGGCCAAGGCAGAGAGACUCCCUGCAGCCUCACACUUUGCCUGAAGACCACGAGACAGGAGCAGACAGGCUGGCAGCCAGCACUGUGGCUCUCCAGCACAACCAGGAGCAAGCAAAGCCUCACAGGAGCCGAGCUUUGCCCACCCACUGGCAGCUGCCUGACAUUUAGGAAGUUCAAUAAAUUUCUGAGAAUCUGGACUUA